rnacentral:rRNA from 1 species
CACGAAACUUGCCCCGAGAUGAGUUCUCCCUGAGACUUUAGGUCUCCUGAAGGAACGUUGAAGACGACGACGUUGAUAGGCCGGGUGUGUAAGCGCAGCGAUGCGUUGAGCUAACCGGUACUAAUGAACCGUGAGGCUUAACCUU